UAUUCCUUAGUACACUUCAACUGACUGAAAUAAAAUAAACAAAACUUGGGGUCAUACUGCCCAGAAACUCUUAUUCCUACUCUGUGUCUAACAAACUCAGGGUAAUCAUAAAACAACUUAUAACAACUUAUUCAAUUCAUUGGAUACCAUCAUAUCCAGAAACCUAUUCUCCCUAGUCCAUACCUUUUAUAGACUUAGGUCAAAUAUAAUUGUGUACUAUACUCUUUCAAUUCAAUUCAAUUCCUCUUGGAUCUCUGAAGGCAUUCUUAAU